AUUGAACGCUGGCGGCAGGCCUAACACAUGCAAGUCGAGCGGAGCGGCGGACGGGUGAGUAAUGACUAGGAAUCUGCCUGGUCGUGGGGGAUAACGUCCGGAAACGGGCGCUAAUACAGCACAGUUACAGCUGAGCCUAGGUUGGAUUAGCGAGUUGGUAGGGUAAAGGCCUACCAAGGCGACGAUCCGUAACUGGUCUGAGAGGAUGAUCAGCAACACUGGAACUGAGACACGGUCCAGACUCCUACGGGAGGCAGCAGUGGGGAAUAUUGGACAAUGGGCGAAAGCCUGAUCGAGCCAUGCCGCGUGUGUGAAGAAGGUCUUCGGAUUGUAAAGCACUUUUAGUUGGGAGGCGUUACCAACAGAGUAAGCACCGGCUAACUUCGUGCCAGCAGCCGCGGUAAUUC
rnacentral:rRNA from 1 species